rnacentral:misc_RNA from 1 species
GAUGAAGAAUGUAGCGAAAUGCGAUACGUGAUGUGAAUUGCAGAAUUCAGUGAAUCAUCGAAUCUUUGAACGCAUAUUGCGCUCUCUGGUAUUCCGGAGAGCAUGCUUGUUUGAGUAUCAGUAAACACCUCAACUCCCUUUUCUUUUUUGAAAUUGGAGCUGGACUUGAGUGAUCCCAACGCUUUCUUCCAAGAAAGUGGCGGGUUGCUUGAAAUGCAGGUGCAGCUGAACUUUUCUCUGAGCUAUAAGCAUAUCUAUUUAGUCUGCCUAAAAAACAGAUUAUUACCUUUGCUGCAGCUAACAUAAAGGAGACUAGUUCUUGUGCUGACUGAUGCAGGAUUCACAGAGACAGCUUCGGCUGACUUUGUAAACUCGAUCUCAAAUCAAGUAAGACUACCCGCUGAACUUAAGCAUAUCAAUAAGCGGAGGA